rnacentral:rRNA from 1 species
UACGGGGGGGGUAAGCGUUGUUCGGAAUUACUGGGCGUAAAGGGCUCGUAGGCGGCCAACUAAGUCAGACGUGAAAUCCCUCGGCUUAACCGGGGAACUGCGUCUGAUACUGGAUGGCUUGAGUUUGGGAGAGGAAUGCGGAAUUCCAGGUGUAGCGGUGAAAUGCGUAGAUAUCUGGAGGAACACCGGUGGCGAAGGCGGCAUUCUGGACCAAUACUGACGCUGAGGAGCGAAAGCCAGGGGAGCAAACGGG